UCAUCAUGUUGAAACACUGAUUCUCGUACGAUCUCUGAAGUUAAAUUGUUGGCCCUGGUCAGUACCUAGAUGGGUGACUGCUUGGGAAUAUCAGGUGCC